CCUACGGGCGGCAGCAGUGGGGGAUAUUGCACAAUGGGGGGAACCCUGAUGCAGCGACGCCGCGUGGGUGAAGAAGCGCCUCGGCGCGUAAAGCCCUGUCAGCAGGGAAGAAAAUGACGGUACCUGAAGAAGAAGCCCCGGCUAACUACGUACCAGCAGCCGCCGUAAUACGUGGGGGGCGAGCGAGAACCGGAUAUACUGGGGGUAAAGGGGGCGCAGGCGGGGUUGCAAGCCAGGAGUGAAAGCCCGGGGCCCAACCCCGGGACUGCUCUUGGAACUGCGUGGCUGGAGUGCAGGAGGGGCAGGCGGAAUUCCUGGUGUAGCGGUGAAAUGCGUAGAUAUCAGGAGGAACACCGGUGGCGAAGGCGGCCUGCUGGACUGCAACUGACGCUGAGGCCCGAAAGCGUGGAGAGCAAACAGGAUUAGAUACCCGAGUAGUC
rnacentral:rRNA from 1 species